CCCUUAGAGUUUGAUCAUGGCUCAGAUUGAACGCUGGCGGCAGGCCUAACACAUGCAAGUCGAGCGGAAACGAUCCUAGCUUGCUAGGAGGCGUCGAGCGGCGGACGGGUGAGUAACGCGUGAGAAUCUACCCAUGAGUGGGGGACAACCCGGGGAAACUCGGGCUAAUACCGCAUACGCCCUACGGGGUAAAGCAGGGGACCUUCGGGCCUUGCGCUGAUGGAUGAGCUCGCGUCGGAUUAGCUUGUUGGUGAGGUAAAGGCUCACCAAGGCGACGAUCCGUAGCUGGUCUGAGAGGAUGAUCAGCCACACCGGGACUGAGACACGGCCCGGACUCCUACGGGAGGCAGCAGUGGGGAAUCUUGGACAAUGGGGGCAACCCUGAUCCAGCCAUGCCGCGUGUGUGAAGAAGGCCUUCGGGUUGUAAAGCACUUUCAGCAGGGAGGAAGGCUUACCCCUAAUACGGGUGAGUACUUGACGUUACCUGCAGAAGAAGCACCGGCUAAUUUCGUGCCAGCAGCCGCGGUAAUACGAAAGGUGCAAGCGUUAAUCGGAAUUACUGGGCGUAAAGCGCGCGUAGGCGGUGUGUUAAGUCGGAUGUGAAAGCCCAGGGCUCAACCUUGGAAUUGCAUCCGAUACUGGCACGCUAGAGUGCAGUAGAGGGAGGUGGAAUUUCCGGUGUAGCGGUGAAAUGCGUAGAGAUCGGAAGGAACACCAGUGGCGAAGGCGGCCUCCUGGACUGACACUGACGCUGAGGUGCGAAAGC
rnacentral:rRNA from 1 species